rnacentral:rRNA from 1 species
AUUGAACGCCGGCGACAUGCUUUACACAUGCAAGUCGAACGGUAACAGGCCGCAAGGUGCUGACGAGUGGCGAACGGGUGAGUAAUGCAUCGGAACGUGCCCAGUCGUGGGGGAUAACGCAGCGAAAGCUGCGCUAAUACCGCAUACGAUCUAUGGAUGAAAGCGGGGGACCGUAAGGCCUCGCGCGAUUGGAGCGGCCGAUGUCAGAUUAGGUAGUUGGUGGGGUAAAGGCUCACCAAGCCAACGAUCUGUAGCUGGUCUGAGAGGACGACCAGCCACACUGGGACUGAGACACGGCCCAGACUCCUACGGGAGGCAGCAGUGGGGAAUUUUGGACAAUGGGCGCAAGCCUGAUCCUGCAAUGCCGCGUGCAGGAAGAAGGCCUUCGGGUUGUAAACUGCUUUUGUACGGAACGAAACGGUCCUGGUUAAUACCUGGGGCUAAUGACGGUACCGUAAGAAUAAGCACCGGCUAACUACGUGCCAGCAGCCGCCGUAAGAC